AAAGAUGGCUGCCUUGAGUUGUCUUGGAGAGACCUGACCUGACCUUCUGGAGAAACAUGGAUUUAAAGCACCAUCCUUGACCUAGUGCAGACAGAUGGCAAUUUAUGCUGAGCACAAUCAGGACUAUUCAGCGUCGGGUAGGCUGGUCCUCCCCACAGGAGAGAGGCCCAAUCACAGUCCUAAUGAACACAUUGAGAGCUGUCUGCUCCAAAUGAGUCCCAGUAGGAGCCGGCCCACAGUGGGCCUGUUGUCUCUUGAACUCACGCAACCAGAGAGUUAACGCACUAAUAUUAGAGGACAGGCUGCCGCAUGUAUCUGAAGAAGGCCCCCGGACCAUGGUGUGUGGUAAUGGAGAUAUAAAGAAGAAAGAAAUUUAUCAGGAGUCUAAUCUGAAGGGUUGCUGUUUGGUGUUGGAGAAGACAGUUUUACACAAAAUUAUAUCUGUCAUAAAUAGUAUAUAAUUACUCUGUUAUUUAGGUGAACAUCACUGUCAAGGUUUUUUAUCUUAAAGCUAUUCU
rnacentral:lncRNA from 1 species